CCAAUACUCCACAUGAUGGUAGAAGAUAAUAGGGCG
rnacentral:antisense_RNA from 1 species